rnacentral:rRNA from 1 species
GAGUUCCUACGGGGGGCAGCAGUGAGGAAUAUUGGUCAAUGGGCGCAAGCCUGAACCAGCCACGUCGCGUGAGGGAUGACGGUCCUAUGGAUUGUAAACCUCUUUUGUCGGGGAGCAAGGCCCGCCACGUGUGGCGGGAAGGAGAGUACCCGAAGAAAAAGCAUCGGCUAACUCCGUGCCCGCAGCCGCGGUAAUACGGCGGAUGCGCGCGUUAUCCGGAUUUAUUGGGUUUAAAGGGUGCGUAGGCGGAAGGGUAAUGCAGCGGUCAAAUGUCGGUGCUCAACACCGGACUGCCCUUGCAACUU